rnacentral:rRNA from 1 species
GCUCGGAGGUUAACUCCCAACCCCUGUGAACAUACCAAUUGUUGCCUCGGCGGAUCAGCCCGCUCCCGGUAAAACGGGACGGCCCGCCAGAGGACCCCUAAACUCUGUUUCUAUAUGUAACUUCUGAGUAAAACCAUAAAUAAAUCAAAACUUUCAACAACGGAUCUCUUGGUUCUGGCAUCGAUGAAGAACGCAGCAAAAUGCGAUAAGUAAUGUGAAUUGCAGAAUUCAGUGAAUCAUCGAAUCUUUGAACGCACAUUGCGCCCGCCAGUAUUCUGGCGGGCAUGCCUGUUCGAGCGUCAUUUCAACCCUCAAGCCCAGCUUGGUGUUGGGACUCGCGAGUCAAAUCGCGUUCCCCAAAUUGAUUGGCGGUCACGUCGAGCUUCCAUAGCGUAGUAGUAAAACCCUCGUUACUGGUAAUCGUCGCGGCCACGCCGUUAAACCCCAACUUCUGAAUGUUGACCUCGGAUCAGGUAGGAAUACCCGCUGAACUUAAGCAUAUCAAUAAGCGGAGGAA